rnacentral:rRNA from 1 species
AUCCCGAAGAGAUUUGGGAGUGCUCGCAAGAGAGCCGGAACACAGGUGCUGCAUGGCUGUCGUCAGCUCGUNUCGUGAGAUGNGGGGUUAAGUACCCGCAACGAGCGCAACCCUUGUCANUAGUUGCUACGAAAGGGCACUCUAAUGAGACUGCCGGUGACAAACCGGAGGAAGGUGGGGAUGACGUCAAGUCCUCAUGGCCCUUAUGGGUAGGGCUUCACACGUCAUACAAUGGUCGGGACAGAGGGUCGCCAACCCGCGAGGGGGAGCCAAUCCCAGAAACNCGAUCGUAGUCCGGAUCGCAGUCUGCAACUCGACUGCGUGAAGUCGGAAUCGCUNGUAAUCGCGGAUCAGCAUGUCGCGGUGAAUACGUUCCCGGNUCUUGUACACNCCNCCCGUCACAUCUCAUGGGAGUGGGUUUUAUCCAGAA